UGCCAGCCGCCGCGGUAAUACGGAGGAUGCAAGCGUUGUUCGGAAUUACUGGGCGUAAAGCGCGCGUAGGCGGUUUAGUAAGUUGGAUGUGAAAGCCCAGGGCUCAACCUUGGAACUGCAUUCAAAACUGCUAGGCUAGAGUACGGUAGAGGGGGGUAGAAUUCCAUGUGUAGCGGUGAAAUGCGUAGAGAUGUGGAGGAAUACCAGUGGCGAAGGCAGCCCCCUGGGUCAACACUGACGCUCAGGCACGAAAGCAUGGGGAGCAAACAGGAUUAGAUA
rnacentral:rRNA from 1 species